UAGGCAAUUCCAGCUUUUAGUUUAUGCAUGCAGGGGGUGAUGGGAAGUAAGGUAUCAUAUUGCUGAUUAUGUUGAAAAAAUAAAAAUGGCAGCAGUUUUUAUUGAAAUUUUUCAGCAUAAUCAGCAAUAUGAUACCUUACUUCCCAUCAUCCCCUGCAGGCAUAAAUUAAAAGCUGGAAUUGCCUAUACCCAAUUUUUAUUUCCCUGCGACGAGCCACGAGAGCCGAGUUUCAAACGGCAAAAAGUG
rnacentral:sRNA from 1 species